CCAAUAGCGUAUAUUAAAGUUGCUGCAGUUAAAAAGCUCGUAGUUGAAUUUCGGGACUAAUAUGUCGGUCGUGCCUCGGUACGUACUGGUAUUUUUGGUUUCUCCCUUCUGACGCUCCUUGAUGUCAUUAAUUUGGUGUCUUUGGAAAUCAGGACUGUUACUUUGUAAAAAUUAGAGUGUUUAAAGCAGGCUCACGCUUGAAUACAUUCGCAUGGAAUAAUGUAAUAGGACGUUUGAUUCUAUUUUGUUGGUUUCUAGGAUAGACGUAAUGAUUAAUAGGGAUAGUUGGGGGCAUUAGUAUUAAAUUGUCAGAGGUGAAAUUCUUGGAUUUAUUGAAGACUAACUACUGCGAAAGCAUUUGCCAAGGAUGUUUUCAUUAAUCAAGAACGAAAGUUAGGGGAUCGAAGACGAUCAGAUACCGUCGUAGUCUUAACCAUAAACUAUGCCGACUAGGGAUCGGAUGAUGUUAAUUUUUUAAUGACUCAUUCGGCGCCUUACG
rnacentral:misc_RNA from 1 species